GCCAUUGACUAGAAUGACCUGGACCAGCCUAACACCUAUGACCAUUUCCUAAUUUCUCACUCAUAACCCUUGGCUUACUCCCGCCGUAAUUGACCAGCCUCAAGAUGUCCUCUUCAAGACAGCAUCCAUCUUCUAUGCUGAUGUCUCCGGCUACAGUUGGCACAUGCAUGGCUUGUGGGUCCCGCUUCCACCAGGUGCGAACCAUAUAAUAAGGUUCAUAGCUGUCCGAUACCAGACAGCUGAUCCUCUCCCUGCUGGACUAGCCAAACCAAAGGGACGUUGAAUCAAAGGAAACAGAAUUACGGUUGACUAGGCCAAAGUGGACCGGACCAGGAGAAAAUAAACCGGGCCGGUCCCA
rnacentral:lncRNA from 1 species